rnacentral:rRNA from 1 species
AGAGUUUGAUCCUGGCUCAGGAUGAACGCUAGCGAUAGGCUUAACACAUGCAAGUCGAGGGGCAGCAUGGUCUUAGCUUGCUAAGACUGAUGGCGACCGGCGCACGGGUGCGUAACGCGUAUGCAACUUGCCUCACAGAGGGGGAUAACCCGUCGAAAGACGGACUAAUACCGCGUACACUUACAGGAGGGCAUCCUUCCGUAAGGAAAUGAAUUUCGCUGUGAGAUAGGCAUGCGUCCCAUUAGCUAGUUGGUGAGGUAACGGCUCACCAAGGCGACGAUGGGUAGGGGAACUGAGAGGUUGAACCCCCACACUGGUACUGAGACACGGACCAGACUCCUACGGGAGGCAGCAGUGAGGAAUAUUGGUCAAUGGGCGAGAGCCUGAACCAGCCAAGUCGCGUGAAGGAUGACUGUCUUAUGGAUUGUAAACUUCUUUUGUAGGGGAAUAAAGAACGGUACGUGUACCGUAGUGAAUGUACCCUACGAAUAAGCAUCGGCUAACUCCGUGCCAGCAGCCGCGGUAAUACGGAGGAUGCGAGCGUUAUCCGGAUUUAUUGGGUUUAAAGGGUGCGUAGGCGGCCUGUUAAGUCAGCGGUGAAAUCUAGGGGCUUAACUCCUAAAUUGCCAUUGAUACUGGUGGGCUUGAGUGUAGAUGAGGUAGGCGGAAUGCGUGGUGUAGCGGUGGAAUGCAUAGAUAUCACGCAGAACUCCAAUUGCGAAGGCAGCUUACUAAGGUACAACUGACGCUGAAGCACGAAAGCGUGGGUAUCAAACAGGAUUAGAUACCCUGGUAGUCCACGCAGUAAACGAUGAUAACUGGGCGUAUGCGAUAUACAGUAUGCUCCUAAGCGAAAGCGUUAAGUUAUCCACCUGGGGAGUACGCCGGCAACGGUGAAACUCAAAGGAAUUGACGGGGGCCCG